rnacentral:rRNA from 1 species
UACGUAGGGUGCGAGCGUUAAUCGGAAUUACUGGGCGUAAAGCGUGCGCAGGCGGUUCGCCAAGUCAGGUGUGAAAUCCCCGGGCUCAACCUGGGAACUGCGUUUGAAACUACAAGACUAGAAUAUGUCAGAGGGGGGUAGAAUUCCACGUGUAGCAGUGAAAUGCGUAGAGAUGUGGAGGAAUACCAAUGGCGAAGGCAGCCCCCUGGGAUAAUAUUGACGCUCAUGCACGAAAGCGUGGGGAGCAAACAGG